rnacentral:rRNA from 1 species
AACAAACGCUGGCGGCAGGCUUAACACAUGCAAGUCGAGCGCCCCGCAAGGGGAGCGGCAGACGGGUGAGUAGCGCGUGGGAAUCUACCCAUCUCUACGGGAUAACGCAUGGAAACGUGUGCUAAUACCGUAUACGUCCUUCGGGAGAAAGAUUUAUCGGAGAUGGAUGAGCCCGCGUUGGAUUAGCUAGUUGGUGGGGUAAAGGCCUACCAAGGCGACGAUCCAUAGCUGGUCUGAGAGGAUGAUCAGCCACACUGGGACUGAGACACGGCCCAGACUCCUACGGGAGGCAGCAGUGGGGAAUAUUGGACAACGGGCGCAAGCCUGAUCCAGCCAUGCCGCGUGAGUGAUGAAGGCCCUAGGGUUGUAAAGCUCUUUCACCGGUGAAGAUAAUGACGGUAACCGGAGAAGAAGCCCCGGCUAACUUCGUGCCAGCAGCCGCAGUAAUAC